rfam:Sodalis sp. TME1 1.TCA.454Reads_contig_9594, whole genome shotgun sequence.
UGAACCAGAAGAGGCGCGUCGCCCAGGCAGGGUGUGGGAGGAUCCGUUUUCCCGUGAUCACACCCCAGGGGGAGCGACGCCGAGACGAUAGCGGGCAUACGGGCCGGCCGCCGUCGACCACAGGGGCUGAAUCCCCUGGGUUGUCACCAGCAUUGUUCGCCACCAGGCGAUCGGCACGGUGGGGCGCUUCUGGGUGU